AAAUAGGAAUGAUAGUCAGCCAGCUAUUGAAAAUAUUGCAACUUAGCGAAAGAAUGAUCUAUAGAAUAUACACACAACAUAUAGAGACAGGAACAUUAUCCCCUAUGAAGUCUACUAGCCGUCCUCGAUUAUCAUUUCAGGAAGAGAAAAAAGUAUUAAUAAGUAUGAGUGAGGAAGAACUUUUUAAACGGUCGACAGUGCUUAGAGAAGACUUGGGAUUAGCUGUAAGCGUUGAUAUUAUGAAAAGACGAUAAGUAACCAGCUGAAAAACUACAACAAAAUAUCACAGAAAAGUUACAAUAUCAUUUUUAGGAAGUGUAGUUAAACAGGAAAUCAGAUUUAAAAAUUUAACCCCUUCAUUAGUUGUCUGACCGGAGUAUGCUCUUUUAAGUUGGU
rnacentral:lncRNA from 1 species